rnacentral:rRNA from 1 species
GACGAACGCUGGCGGCGUGCCUAAUACAUGCAAGUCGAACGCUUCUUUUUCCACCGGAGCUUGCUCCACCGGAAAAAGAGGAGUGGCGAACGGGUGAGUAACACGUGGGUAACCUGCCCAUCAGAAGGGGAUAACACUUGGAAACAGGUGCUAAUACCGUAUAACAAUCGAAACCGCAUGGUUUUGAUUUGAAAGGCGCUUUCGGGUGUCGCUGAUGGAUGGACCCGCGGUGCAUUAGCUAGUUGGUGAGGUAACGGCUCACCAAGGCGACGAUGCAUAGCCGACCUGAGAGGGUGAUCGGCCACAUUGGGACUGAGACACGGCCCAAACUCCUACGGGAGGCAGCAGUAGGGAAUCUUCGGCAAUGGACGAAAGUCUGACCGAGCAACGCCGCGUGAGUGAAGAAGGUUUUCGGAUCGUAAAACUCUGUUGUUAGAGAAGAACAAGGAUGAGAGUAACUGUUCAUCCCUUGACGGUAUCUAACCAGAAAGCCACGGCUAACUACGUGCCAGCAGCCGCGGUAAUACGUAGGUGGCAAGCGUUGUCCGGAUUUAUUGGGCGUAAAGCGAGCGCAGGCGGUUUCUUAAGUCUGAUGUGAAAGCCCCCGGCUCAACCGGGGAGGGUCAUUGGAAACUGGGAGACUUGAGUGCAGAAGAGGAGAGUGGAAUUCCAUGUGUAGCGGUGAAAUGCGUAGAUAUAUGGAGGAACACCAGUGGCGAAGGCGGCUCUCUGGUCUGUAACUGACGCUGAGGCUCGAAAGCGUGGGGAGCAAACAGGAUUAGAUACCCUGGUAGUCCACGCCGUAAACGAUGAGUGCUAAGUGUUGGAGGGUUUCCGCCCUUCAGUGCUGCAGCUAACGCAUUAAGCACUCCGCCUGGGG